rnacentral:rRNA from 1 species
UACGUAGGAGGCAAGCGUUUGUCCGGAAUUACUGGGCGUAAAGCGCGUGUAGGUGGUGGGACAAGUCUGCUGUGAAAGCGCCUGGCUUAACCGGGCGAGGUCGUCGUGAACCGGGGGCUUGAGGCCGGUAGAGGUGGGUGGAACUCCUGGUGGAGUGGUGAAAUGCGUAGAGAUCAGGAAGAACACCCGUGGCGAAGGCGGCCCACUGGGCCGGUACUGACGCUGAGGCACGAAGGCGUGGGGAGCG